GACGAACGCUGGCGGCGUGCUUAACACAUGCAAGUCGAACGGAAAGGCCCUGCUUUUGUGGGGUGCUCGAGUGGCGAACGGGUGAGUAACACGUGCGUAACCUGCCCUUGACUUUGGGAUAACUUCAGGAAACUGGGGCUAAUACCGGAUAGGAGCUCCUGCUGCAUGGUGGGGGUUGGAAAGUUUCGGCGGUUGGGGAUGGACUCGCGGCUUAUCAGCUUGUUGGUGGGGUAGUGGCUUACCAAGGCUUUGACGGGUAGCCGGCCUGAGAGGGUGACCGGCCACAUUGGGACUGCGAGACGGCCCAGACGCCUACGGGAGGCAGCAGUGGGGAAUAUUGCACAAUGGGCGGAAGCCUGAUGCAGCAACGCCGCGUGCGGGAUGACGGCCUUCGGGUUGUAAACCGCUUUCGCCUGUGACGAAGCGUGAGUGACGGUAAUGGGUAAAGAAGCACCGGCUAACUACGUG
rnacentral:rRNA from 1 species